GGCGAACGGGUGAGUAACACGUGAGCAACCUGCCCCGAAGACCGGGAUAACAGCGGGAAACCGCUGCUAAUACCGGAUACCCCCAUCGGGCCACAUGGCCUGAUGAGGAAAUGGAUUCCGCUUCGGGAGGGGCUCGCGGCCUAUCAGCUUGUUGGUGGGGUAACGGCCCACCAAGGCGACGACGGGUAGCUGGUCUGAGAGGACGAUCAGCCACACUGGGACUGAGACACGGCCCAGACUCCUACGGGAGGCAGCAGUGGGGAAUACUGCGCAAUGGGCGAAAGCCUGACGCAGCAACGCCGCGUGAGGGAUGAAGGCCUUCGGGUUGUAAACCUCUUUCGAGCAGGGACGAUAAUGACGGUACCUGCAGAAGAAGCUCCGGCCAACUACGUGCCAGCCGCCGCGG
rnacentral:rRNA from 1 species